UAUUCGGAGAACCUAUUCAGUUGGAAUUACAAUGUAAUUCAAUCCUUCUCUAAAACAAUACUCUCAAUCACAUUACUAGGGUAUGGAUAUAUUAUGUCAAACCCCUAAUGUGAUUAUUCCUUCUUAUAUGAUUCAAUUGAGUCGUAUAGGAAUGCUUUCCUUUAUUACGCUCGAUUGAUAGCAGCAUAUUUAUGCGCCUUAGUUAGCUAGUUCUUAUGCAUCUUUGUUAUGUUUUCUUCGUUAAAGUAGUCUUUUAAGCUACUUUCAUGUGUUUUCAGGUUUAAAGGACAUAUUACAUGAAAUGAUGCAAGUUGGAGCUUUUGGAGCAAAAUAUGAGCUUGGAUUGAAAAGGACAUGCUUGGAACACAAGGUUGGGAUGGAAUUGAAGAGUUGAAGAUUUGAGGUUUCCUACUUGAAGUAGGAAAGCUAAGCCUAAAAGUUUCCAUUUUGGGUUGAUCUUUCCUAAAUCGGAAUUGGCAACCAAAGUUUCUAAAGUUGGAAGUUUCUAUUCUUGGAGGUUUCCAAAUUCGUGAGUUUCUAUUCUCGGCUUUAGGCUUUUGGAUGACCCAUCCUUACUUCUUGGACCUAUGUCGCACCUAAACCCUAACCCUAGCCACUUAAUCAGCCGCACCUAGGCCUUUUUCACAUGCAAAAAUCUGAUUAUCUACCCUAAGCCCAUGCCGCACCUAAUGUUCUAGAAACCCUAUUUUCUGGUGGAUUUCCAACCCUAGCCGCACCUAAACCCUAGCCCAUUGUCUAAUCUGAUUUCUUUAGGGUUUAGGUGCCUAUAUAUAUGUGUUUUACAUCCUUUGGCCGUAUAUCCACCCUCUACACAAUUCAGAAAUCCAUCCAACCUUAUUUCCCCACCUUGCCGCAGCCAUCAUCACCCUUAGAACCCCUAGCCGCCACUCCUCCAUACAAACCAGCCACUCCCCACUCCUUGCCGCAACCAGUCCACACCUCUAGCCACCAUUAUACACCUCCAUACACCACCCAUACCCCUUGCCGCACCACCAUAUCAUCCUAACUCCAUUCCUACACCAAAAUCACAUCCAAAAUCACCCUAAACCCUCUCUGCCGCAGCAAGGAGAAGAAGAAAGAGGAGC
rnacentral:lncRNA from 1 species